rnacentral:rRNA from 1 species
UACGGAGAGUGCAAACGUUGUUCGGAUUCACUGGGCGUAAAGGGCACGUAGGCGGCUCGGCACAUCGGUCGUGGAAUCCCGACGCUUACCGUCGGAACGGCGGCCGAAAAUACCGGGCUCGAGGGCGUGAGGGGUCACUGGAACUCCUGGUGAAGCGGUGAAAUGCGUAGAUAUCAGGAGGAACGCCGGAGGCGAAAGCGGGCUACUGGGCUGAUACUGACGCUGAGGCGCGAAAGCUAGGGGAGCAAACGGG